GUACUCGAGUGGCGAACGGGUGAGUAACACGUGGGUGAUCUGCCCUGCACUUCGGGAUAAGCCUGGGAAACUGGGUCUAAUACCGGAUAGUACCAUCGUUUAGUGUCGGUGGUGGAAAGUUUUCGGUGCAGGAUGAGCCCGCGGCCUAUCAGCUUGUUGGUGGGGUAAUGGCCUACCAAGGCGUCGACGGGUAGCCGGCCUGAGAGGGUGGACGGCCACAUUGGGACUGAGACACGGCCCAG
rnacentral:rRNA from 1 species